rnacentral:rRNA from 1 species
UAUGGAGGGUGCGAGCGUUAUCCGGAUUUACUGGGUUUAAAGGGUGUGUAGGCGGAUCAUUAAGUCAGUGGUGAAAUCUCGGGGCUCAACCCCGAAACUGCCAUUGAUACUAUUGAUCUUGAAUACUGUGGAGGUGAGCGGAAUGUGUCAUGUAGCGGUGAAAUGCAUAGAGAUGACACAGAACACCGAUUGCGAAGGCAGCUCACUACGCAGUGAUUGACGCUGAGGCACGAAAGCGUGGGGAUCAAACAGG